AGAGAGAGAGAAAGAGAGAAAGGCAAAACACACAGGAGGAGGGGACACACGCCUCCGCCUCCACCUCCUCCCGAGGCGAUAGCGAGCUCGCCUCCGCCUCCGCCUCCGCCGCGCCGCCCCGCCGACGACGAGGAGGAAGAGGCGACGCCACCGCCGCCGCCGCAGGAGGAGGAGGAGGCGACGCCCGUGGGGAGCUCGCGCGACGCCGGAUCUCGCGAUCUGAGGGGCCCCCGCGCCAAUUCCCCCGCAGGUGCGCGCGCGCUCCACCCCCCACGAUCCGCGGCGGGGCUCGAUCCCGAUUGGGGUUUUGCGGCGGUGGAGACGGAGAUGAGCGUGGAGAGCCCUGGAGGAGCCCCCGGGAGCUAG
rnacentral:lncRNA from 1 species